UACGUAGGGGGCAAGCGUUGUCCGGAAUCAUUGGGCGUAAAGAGCGUGUAGGCGGUCCUGUAAGUCCGCUGUGAAAGUCAAGGGCUCAACCCUUGAAUGCCGGUGGAUACUGCAGGACUAGAGUCCGGAAGAGGCGAGUGGAAUUCCUGGUGUAGCGGUGAAAUGCGCAGAUAUCAGGAGGAACACCGAUGGCGAAGGCAGAUCUCUGGGCCGUAACUGACGCUGAGGAGCGAAAGCGUGGGGAGCGAACAGG
rnacentral:rRNA from 1 species